GAAAUCAACCGAGAUUCCGCUAGUAGUGGCGAGCGAACGCGGAAGAGGCCAAACCGGAGGUAGCAAUAUUUCCGGGGUUAGGACUGCAAUAUGUAACUUUAAUCUUUAACUGAAUGCUUUGGGAAGAGCAGCGAUACAGGGUGAUAGCCCCGUAAGUGAAAAGGAUUGAGUGCUAGCAGUAUCCAGAGUACCAGCGGACACGUGAAACCCGCUGGGAAGAUGGGGGGACCAUCCUCCAAGCCUAAAUACUACUCAGUGACCGAUAGUGGAGCAGUACCGUGAGGGAAAGGUGAAAAGUACCCCGGGAGGGGAGUGAAAGAGAACCUGAAACCUUGUGCCUACAAGCACCGAGAGCACGUUAAAGUGUGAUCGGGUACUUUUUGUAGAACGGUCCGGCGAGUUAAUAUUUGCAGCGAGGUUAAGUAACUGGAGUUACGGAGCCGCAGCGAGAGCGAGUCUGAAUAGGGCGUAUGAAGUUGCAGGUAUUAGACCCGAAACCGGGUGACCUAUCCAUGAGCAGGCUGAAGCGGUGGUAAGACACCGUGGAGGGCCGCACCCACGUCUGUUGAAAAAGCCGGGGAUGACUUGUGGAUAGCGGAGAAAUUCCAAUCGAACUCGGAGAUAGCUGGUUCUCCCCGAAAUAGCUUUAGGGCUAGCGUUAUUUUAGAUUACCGGAGGUAAAGCACUGAAUGGUCUAGGGGCCGCGAGGUUACCAAAGCCUAUCAAACUCUGAAUGCCGGAUAAUUGAUGAAUAGCAGUCAGACUGUGUGAGAUAAGUCUCAUAGUCAAAAGGGAAACAGCCCAGAUCUACAGCUAAGGUCCCAAAUGAACACUAAGUGGAAAAUGAUGUGAAACUGCGAAGACAACCAGGAUGUUGGCUUAGAAGCAGCCACUCAUUCAAAGAGUGCGUAAUAGCUCACUGGUCGAGUGGUUUUGCGCAGAAAAUGUAACGGGGCUAAGUGUUCAACCGAAGCUUAGGCAUUGCAGUAAUGCAUUGGGUAGGGGAGCGUCGUAUGCGGGGCGAAGUCAGAGCGGAAGCACUGGUGGACUGCAUACGAGUGAGAAUGCCGGAAUAAGUAGCGAGAAUUAUGUGAGAAUCAUAAUGGCCGAAAAUCUAAGGUUUCCUGGGGAAGGUUCGUCCGCCCAGGGUUAGUCGGGAGCUAAGCUCAGGCCGAAAGGCGUAGGCGAUGCACAUACGGUAGAAAUUCCGUAACCACCGAACUUUAAGCUAGAGGGACGCUUUCUUUAAGGUUAUCCCGGGCGAUGGUUGCCCCGGGCGUAAGGGACCGAAAUAUAGUAGGGAAGUAACUGGCGAGAGAGACGAGAAAAGCUCUAGUGUAUACUAAGGUGCCCGUACCGCAAACCGACACAGGUAGAUGGGAUGAGUAUUCUAAGGCCAACGGGAGAAGGGUUGUUAAGGAACUCGGCAAAUUGGCCCCGUAACUUCGGGAUAAGGGGCGCCUGCGAGAGCAGGCCGCAGUGAAAAGGCCCAAGCGACUGUUUAGCAAAAACACAGCUCUCUGCUAAAUCGAAAGAUGACGUAUAGGGGGUGACGCCUGCCCGGUGCUGGAAGGUUAAGGGGAGUGCUUAGCGCAAGCGAAGGUGCGAACUUAAGCCCCAGUAAACGGCGGCCGUAACUAUAACGGUCCUAAGGUAGCGAAAUUCCUUGUCAGGUAAG
rnacentral:rRNA from 1 species